GAUGAACGCUGGCGGCGUGCCUAAUACAUGCAAGUCGAGCGAACAGACGAGGAGCUUGCUCCUCUGACGUUAGCGGCGGACGGGUGAGUAACACGUGGAUAACCUACCUAUAAGACUGGGAUAACUUCGGGAAACCGGAGCUAAUACCGGAUAAUAUAUUGAACCGCAUGGUUCAAUAGUGAAAGACGGUUUUGCUGUCACUUAUAGCUGGAUCCGCGCCGCAUUAGCUAGUUGGUAAGGUAACGGCUUACCAAGGCAACGAUGCGUAGCCGACCUGAGAGGGUGAUCGGCCACACUGGAACUGAGACACGGUCCAGGCUCCUACGGGAGGCAGCAGUAGGGAAUCGUCCGCAAUGGGCGAAAGCUUGACGGAGCAACGCCGCGUGAGUGAUGAAGGUCUUCGGAUCGUAAAACUCUGUUAUUAGGGAAGAACAAAUGUGUAAGUAACUAUGCACGUCUUGACGGUACCUAAUCAGAAAGCCACGGCUAACUACGUG
rnacentral:rRNA from 1 species